rnacentral:rRNA from 1 species
UACGGGGGGGGCAAGCGUUGUUCGGAAUUACUGGGCGUAAAGGGCUCGUAGGUGGCCAACUAAGUCAGACGUGAAAUCCCUCGGCUUAACCGGGGAAUGGCAUCUGAUACUGGAUGGCUUGAGUUUGGGAGAGGGACGCGGAAUUCCAGGUGUAGCGGUGAAAUGCGUAGAUAUCUGGAGGAACACCGGUGGCGAAGGCGGCGUCCUGGACCAACACUGACACUGAGGAGCGAAAGCCAGGGGAGCAAACGGG